AAAUAUAUUAUUUUUAAAACUUAAAUAAAUCAUUUAAAUUUUAACAUUGAAAUUGUCUCAAAUUUACUCUCAGAAUGGAGAGAGUACAAAUGUACAAUAACCAAAAGAGUAACUUAAGUAUCCAAAACAUAUGAAUGGAGCUACUAAACAGCACCAAACAAAACCAGUUCGAGUCUUCCCAUCCAUCAACCACAACCUGCAGUACUGAAAGGGCCAUGGCCAUGAUGUGAGUUGCUUCCGCAUACACCUGCAUUGUCAAUUAUUUUUCAAUUAACCCCUCAAUUAUCAAAUUGAAUACUUGUUUCCUUAUAGUACUUGUCACUUAGUGUCAAUUAUUUUCCUUUGAUCAAAUUUUUCUCAAUUUCUUAUCACGUGCUAAUUAUGCGUUGGUUUAAUGAGAAUCUUUGUUAUUUGACUAUGUAAAAUAUUCAUUUCACGCAGUCACAUUUUAGUCAUGAGAACUAAGUAUUUUACUUCAUCAAAUAACAAAGAUACACUCAUUAACAGACGCAUGACUACCGUCAUUAAACACUCGCAUGACAACCAUAAAGAGGGAAGUAUUUACUUUAAUAAUCGAGCAGCUACUUUGAAAAAUUAAAUGACAACUUGGACGGACAGACCUGUUUUCAAUAUAUAUUCAUGGAAAUAAAAUAUCAAUUAUAUUAACUAUUACUAACCUGAUCCAGCCAUGCCGCCUAAAUUUCUUCCAGCUGUUCCAGGAGAGACUAGGAGAAACAAAACCAAACAGAAGACAUAUAUCAUAAUAAGACUUAUAAUAUCUUUUGGUGCCAUUUUAAUUUGCCAAUAAGAUGCGGCUCUAAGAAAUUUGUUGGUUUUUCUUUUGAACAAAGAAUGGUUAAAUAUUUUCCCUCUUCACUAUGAUAUAUAUAUAUGAGAAGGAAAUUUCGAGGUUAGCAAAGAUUUCAAGUCAUGUGCCAUUUUGUCAAAUU
rnacentral:lncRNA from 1 species